AAGUCGUAACAAGGUUUCCGUAGGUGAACCUGCGGAAGGAUCAUUAACACGUAUCCACGUAUUAACCAACUGGUAACUCGUUUUCAACCCUCCCUGUGAUUGUACAUGAAUUGGAUAGGCGGUGAGAUUAAUUGAUUGGGGCUAUUCUCGAGUAGUCUAAGUCUCACUUUCCGACACGUAAGAUUUCGGUCUUGCAUACAAUUGUAGUUCUGACACAGAUAACCCCUCCUCGAUGGUUCUCCAUUCAAGAACUGUUGAUGAGACCCUAUACACACCUAUUUCACCCCUUUUUUGCUAGUUGACUUUUUAUAUGUUGUUACUGAUGAUCGAUUCACUUCUUUUAUCUGUUUCACACGUUUAAUUACUUGAACGUUAAAAUUACAACUCUUAGCAAUGGAUAUCUUGGUUCUC
rnacentral:misc_RNA from 1 species